CGCGUAGGCGGGCCAGACAGUCUGUGGUGAAAGCCUCCAGCUUAACUGGAGAAGUGCCGUGGAUACUGCUGGCCUCGAGGAGGGUAGGGGCAUCUGGAACGGUCGGUGGAGCGGUGAAAUGCGUUGAUAUCGACCGGAACUCCGGUGGCGAAGGCGAGGUGCUGGACCCUUUCUGACGCUGAGGCGCGAAAGCCAGGGAGCAAACG
rnacentral:rRNA from 1 species